GUGCCAGCAGCCGCGGUAAUACAGAGGUCUCAAGCGUUGUUCGGAUUCAUUGGGCGUAAAGGGUGCGUAGGCGGCGGGGCAAGUCUGAUGUGAAAUCCCGGGGCUCAACCCCGGAACUGCAUUGGAUACUGCUCUGCUUGAGCACUGGAGAGGAGACUGGAAUUUACGGUGUAGCAGUGAAAUGCGUAGAGAUCGUAAGGAAGACCAGUGGCGAAGGCGAGUCUCUGGACAGUUGCUGACGCUGAGGCACGAAGGCCAGGGGAGCAAACGGGAUUAGAUACCCCGGUAGUCC
rnacentral:rRNA from 1 species